rnacentral:rRNA from 1 species
GUGGGGAAUAUUGGACAAUGGGCGCAAGCCUGAUCCAGCCAUGCCGCGUGAGUGAUGAAGGCCCUAGGGUUGUAAAGCUCUUUCACCGGAGAAGAUAAUGACGGUAUCCGGAGAAGAAGCCCCGGCUAACUUCGUGCCAGCAGCCGCGGUAAUACGAAGGGGGCUAGCGUUGUUCGGAAUUACUGGGCGUAAAGCGCACGUAGGCGGACAUUUAAGUCAGGGGUGAAAUCCCGGAGCUCAACUCCGGAACUGCCUUUGAUACUGGGUGUCUGGAGUAUGGAAGAGGUGAGUGGAAUUCCGAGUGUAGAGGUGAAAUUCGUAGAUAUUCGGAGGAACACCAGUGGCGAAGGCGGCUCACUGGUCCAUUACUGACGCUGAGGUGCGAAAGCGUGGGGAGCAAACAGGAUUAGAUACCCGGGUAGUCC